CAUGAUGUAAUUUUCUUUAUAUUUUCAACUAAAUAAACAAAGUUAAUCUUGCCUCUCUGUCCUGUCCUAUCAAGCAGUUAAAUGGGGAAAGAUUUUGUUGUGGUCCAAAAGAUUCUAGGCAUGAACUGGGAAAGCCCCUUCUAGGGUCAGGUUGGAAUGGCUCCAGAUAAAAGAUUGAUUAUGUAAAAUAAAUUUUAAAAAAAUUAUAGAUUAUAUGAUCCAAUUUUUCAUGGUUCUCAACUCAUGAAUGUGAAUAUUUCCAAGUUAUAUAAUAGCUUGUAACACCAAAUGAUCUUAUGAAGAAAAACUAUUUAUUUAUUAAUAUAAAAAGGAAAUUUUGGGGACAAACUAUAAACAUUGAUAUCUCCUUCACCAUCAUCUGAUGAUGGGGAUUAAAAAUGUCAUUUCGAUGUUCAUCUUCUUUCCUAAAAAGUUAGAACAUGAUAUUUAAUGUUUUGGAUUCUUACCAGAGACCAGCCACCAUGGCUGGGCCCUUUAGAGUUCACAAACGUGCUGGUUUUAGCAAGCUGGAUUACACUACUGUUGACGCUCAUCCACAGGCUGUCUGUUGGAAUUUAAUCCCAGGAAUAGCCAAAGUGAUUACUGAUUACAGGAGCUAACUUACAUGAUAUAUGAGGGCACCUGACUCCCGAGACCCGUGAAAAUUUCUGCUAAAACAGCUCUCUUUCCCUUCAAAUUUUGGCCUAAUAAAGCAAAAAGCACUAUCUUAUAUUAAUUUUACAGAUACGUCGUUCAACUA